rnacentral:misc_RNA from 1 species
CAAAUCAUGAUGUUCAUACCCUCCAACACUAAUGUAUUGCAUCUUUUGACAAUUCCCUCAAACAAUGUUAACAUGGUGAACUUGGCUGACAAAACUCCGGAGAUUGCUGAGAAAAAGGCUAGAAACAGACUAAUGAUAGAAAAAAUAAAAGUUGCCAUAUAGCACCAACAGGAACUUUUUUAAACAAAGUACAUCUCAACAGUUCCAAAUCAAUAAUGUCCUUGCAGCUGCUCUCCAACAAAAAUUAAAAAAUGUAGGCACCAAAAUCUCCAAUUAUGACUUUGGCCUUUCAAAGCUUGAAAGAAAUCUCUAUAUUCGAAAAAAAAAAAAGGUCAAUUUCACUUCAUCAUGAUUCACAAUUUCCCCCUUGAAUGAUAAUUACAGUAACAGUUUAACUACAUUGCUCCAUAGAUCUGGCACUGUUGACAAAUGUUGCGCUUCUAUUAAAUCCCUCGAGUAAAAGAAUUCGAAUGGCAUCUGUGCCAUGUUGAAAUGUAAAAUCCAGCUGAAAAUGGUGAAAAAGCAAAUGAAUACUCAAAAACCUUUAUCAAAUUUGACAAAGUUCCCUCCUUUAUGAGUAAAUGUGAAGAUUUUACAUACCUCUUCGCGUUCUUGUUUAUUGAAGGGGCGAAGAACAAAGUUUACCGUAUCCAUUUUCCCAGGAGGCCGUCCAAUUCCUAGAAUGGUUUCAUAAUUGCAUAACUAUAAUGAAUAUGGGAGAAUCAGGUUGAAUGCAGCUUUAGAUGCUAGAGGGAACCAACCUACCAACUCUUAAACGAGGAAAAUCACGAAUCCCUUUGAAGUGAUCAAUAACACUUCUCAUCCUGAAGGAAAGCAAAAAUAAUAAUUAUACAAUCUAGUAGUCACCUUAGGAGGAAUUCUUCCAUGUGUUUCAUUGACAAAAACAUUAUUAUUUUCCCAGCAUAGGCAAAGGAUUUAGCAUUUCAAAUAUUCCUUCGACAUAACAAUUUUUUACCUAGUUGAAAAGCUAAACAACUAACACUUUGCUUGGAAAAACUUAAAAUGAGGAAGGAAAAUAAGUAGGAAAAGAAAGAUAAUUUAUUCUUCCACCUUUCGUUUGGAUAGCUGAAAAAGAGAGAGAUGUUUUUUCCAUUGUUAGGGAAGAAAAGAGAGUGAAAGUAACAUAAUUAUAGUUUGAUGAAAUUUGGUGCCCAACAAAGCUUAAAGGCGAAAAAAGAUUCAUAUAGCCAACACCAAUUAAUUUGGGAUAACACUUGGUUGUUGUUGUACCAUUAUACCUUCUAUCUUAGAAAUUUGAAUAAAUAAUUGAGAGGUAUAUAUGUAACUUAACAAGUUAUAACACAUUCUCCCUCUUGGUUUUUGUAUUCUCUCUCCAAAUUGGUAAGAAAAUAAUUCAAGGAAAAUAUUUCUUAUUUUCAUUCCAUGUUUUAUUUUCCCUCCUCUUUUCAAACACAAAAAAGUAGCUAUCUCUCGAUAUUUUUCCCCAUUUAUUUUCUUUCCUCUCCCUUUUCCACACAUCCAAACAUUGUGUAAGAGGCAAGCCCAUAAAAAUAGUGUUCAAUUGGAAAGAAAAGAAGAGAAAACGUGUUGCCACAGGGAAAUUGGUAAAAGGAUUCAAAAUGCUGUUCACACGAGGGGCACAAUGCCAAAAAACAGAGUUAUAAAUCAAGGUAAUAAUUGUAUUGUAAGAAACAUAACACAGAAACACAAACUCCAAUUUAAAUUGAGUGGUCCUAGGUUUGCCUUAAGAGGCAACAAAUUAAAAAAAAUUGCAUAUUUUGUGCCUUGGAAAAUUAUGGUUCAAAAUAUUUAUUCACAUCCUUGCUAUUCAAAAGAAAAAUAGAUACCAAAAUUGUGAAUGACCAGCAUGUUGUCCACUAACAUUGACCUCAAAGUGAGCCACAAAUUACCAUUAUGUGAAGUCCUAGGGAUACUGGAACCAAUAUCAACAAUAACAUUGAGGCGCUAAGAAUAAGAAUAAAAACAGGAAAAGGAAAAAAAAAUUACCCAUUGUGUCCUCCAUGUCCACCUUUUGGCAAUAGUCGUAACUUGGCAAAAGGCAAAUCUAAAUCAUCAUAAAUCAGGAGUACUUGCUUCAAUGGAAUCUUGUAAUAGGACACAAUAGCCCCAACCUAAAAAUUGCAUUGGAAAUCAACCAAUCACUUUCAGAACUAUAGAAAUAUAGAUCAAAGAAAAUAUCUUGACCAUAAGUGCAUGUAAAAAUCCUACGAGAUUAGCUUACUUACAGACUCACCACUUGAAUUCAUGAAAGUUUGUGGUUUGGCAAGCAUUACUGGAACAUUUCCAAUAAACCUUUUCUUAUAGCAUAUAACGAAAUCACUUUCACAAGUUGAUACAAAACUUUGAAAUAUACUCAUUCAUAGAUAAUUGGAGUCACCCUCCCUUCCAUUUGUGGGUCAGCAUCUGCUCUCUGUAGGGCAGCCUAGGAAAUCACAGUUCACCGUUUCAUUAAUUACAUAUCCCAAUAGAGUGUAUAUUUACGUUUUUGAACAAGCAGAAAUUGUUCACAUAUAACUUUUCACCAUGUUACAUUUGUGGGUAUGGCUAACAUGCGUGCGAGCCUGUAUAAACAAUUUAAAGAACUAACAAAAAUAGAAAUAGCUGAGCAUGAUUUAGAGGAUUAAACGGCAAUAACCAUAGACAAACCAAAAAACAGACCUCGAACAUGAAUAAAUAAUUUCCCCAAAUAAAUAAAAUUUACAAAAGCAGGAUAAGUUGUGAGCUGCAUUAAAUUUUUAUUAAAUGCAGAAUGCAAUAAACUUGCAAUCACUUGGCAAAGAAAGCGAAACAAGUUUGAAUUAAAAAACCUUUUCCAAACAAUGCUCUAAAGGAAACACUACUGAUGGAUAUUCCUUCAGCAUUAGCUAUAGCAUCUACCAUCUCAAAACCCACGUUAUGGCGAGUGCCUUGAUACUUUUUUCCAGGAUUUCCGAGGCCAACAAUGAGCCAAGGCUGCUGUUGCUUUGGCUUGAUGGCAGACUCAUUGGACAUAGAGGAAUAGUCGGCGGCUGAAGAAGACGAAGGAGAAGUAGAAGAACAACGAAUAGGGAAUUCAGACAUGCUUCUCUUCCAGCAAAAAAAGGAAAGAGAAGAAGAAUGAUGGUUAUUAAAUGGGAAGCGCAGGGCGUUGGUGGCAAAUGAUGAUGUAAAAGCAGCGGCAGAGCAAGAACUCACCUUCAUCUUCUUUCUAUAAGAAAUUAGGGUUUGGAAAGAGGAGGGGAGCCGAGAAGAGAGGGUCUGCUUCUUCUUCAGGGCGACUUUUACUUGCUCGAUUGAUU